rnacentral:lncRNA from 1 species
GUUGGGUGAAGGAGCAGAGCGGCCGGAAGCGCGGAGGGAGCCGCGGGAUGGACCGCAGCCUGCCAGUUUUCUCCAUUCAAGAUAGUCCCUUUGGAGAUGCGCCCCUGGGUCGAAGCCACUACUGGCCAUCCCAGAGCCAGACCUGGUGUCCCAAGACCCUCAGUUCUCUGGGGACCCAGCCUAACCAUGUCCCACUGUGGAGCAGUGUGGCCCAGCCUGGUCCACCAGAGGCCUUCUAUGUGGAGAGGCCUCCUUUUCCCUCAGUGUCCUCUCCACACAUCUUUUGGGCCCCCAGCUCCCACGGGUUCUUCUGGGCCCCACAGUCUGGGCCUUGGGUAUCCCUUGGGGCUGUUCCUCCCACGCAGCAGGCCUCCACCCUAGCACAUCUGGGCUCUACCCUCGCGCCCCCGGCUUCCCUG